rnacentral:rRNA from 1 species
GACGAACGCUGGCGGCGUGCUUAACACAUGCAAGUCGAACGGAAAGGCCCUGCUUUUGUGGGGUGCUCGAGUGGCGAACGGGUGAGUAACACGUGAGUAACCUGCCCUUGACUUUGGGAUAACUUCAGGAAACUGGGGCUAAUACCGGAUAGGAGCUCCUGCUGCAUGGUGGGGGUUGGAACGUUUCGGCGGUUGGGGAUGGACUCGCGGCUUAUCAGCUUGUUGGUGGGGUAGUGGCUUACCAAGGGUUUGACGGGUAGCCGGCCUGGGAGGGUGACCGGCCACAUUGGGACUGAGGUACGGCCCAGACUCCUACGGGAGGCAGCAGUGGGGAAUAUUGCACAAUGGGCGGAAGCCUGAUGCAGCAACGCCGCGUGCGGGAUGACGGCCUGCGGGUUGUAAACCGCUUUCGCCUGUGACGAAGCGUGAGUGACGGUAAUGGGUAAAGAAGCACCGGCUAACUACGUG